AUUGAACGCUGGCGGCAGGCUUAACACAUGCAAGUCGACCGGUAGCACAGGGGAGCUUGCUCCCUGGGUGACGAGCGGCGGACGGGUGAGUAAUGUCUGGGAAACUGCCUGAUGGAGGGGGAUAACUACUGGAAACGGUAGCUAAUACCGCAUAACGUCGCAAGACCAAAGAGGGGGACCUUCGGGCCUCUUGCCAUCAGAUGUGCCCAGAUGGGAUUAGCUAGUAGGUGGGGUAAUGGCUCACCUAGGCGACGAUCCCUAGCUGGUCUGAGAGGAUGACCAGCCACACUGGAACUGAGACACGGUCCAGACUCCUACGGGAGGCAGCAGUGGGGAAUAUUGCACAAUGGGCGCAAGCCUGAUGCAGCCAUGCCGCGUGUGUGAAGAAGGCCUUCGGGUUGUAAAGCACUUUCAGCGAGGAGGAAGGUGGUGAGCUUAAUACGUUCAUCAAUUGACGUUACUCGCAGAAGAAGCACCGGCUAACUCCGUG
rnacentral:rRNA from 1 species